AUUGAACGCUGGCGGCAGGCCUAACACAUGCAAGUCGAGCGGAUGAAGGGAGCUUGCUCCUGGAUUCAGCGGCGGACGGGUGAGUAAUGCCUAGGAAUCUGCCUGGUAGUGGGGGAUAACGUCCGGAAACGGGCGCUAAUACCGCAUACGUCCUGAGGGAGAAAGUGGGGGAUCUUCGGACCUCACGCUAUCAGAUGAGCCUAGGUCGGAUUAGCUAGUUGGUGGGGUAAAGGCCUACCAAGGCGACGAUCCGUAACUGGUCUGAGAGGAUGAUCAGUCACACUGGAACUGAGACACGGUCCAGACUCCUACGGGAGGCAGCAGUGGGGAAUAUUGGACAAAGGGCGAAAGCCUGAUCCAGCCAUGCCGCGUGUGUGAAGAAGGUCUUCGGAUUGUAAAGCACUUUAAGUUGGGAGGAAGGGCAGUAAGUUAAUACCUUGCUGUUUUGACGUUACCAACCGAAUAAGCACCGGCUAACUUCGUG
rnacentral:rRNA from 1 species